rnacentral:rRNA from 1 species
CGUUUCGGAUCUGGGCCGUAAGCGCACCCUACGGGUUUCCUCAGUCAGAUUGUUUAAUCCCCUGGCUCACCGGGGUACUGCCUCUGAUACUGGCUUAACUUGAGUCGCUUAGAGGGGGGUAGAAUUCCAGGUGUACCGGUGAAAUGCGUAGAGAUCUGGAGGAAUACCCGUGGCGAAGGCGGCCCCCUGGACCACAACUGACGCUCACGUGCGAAAGCGUGGGGAGCAAACAGGAUUACAUACCCUGGUAGUCCACGCCGUAAACCAUGUCUACUUGCAGGUUGUGCCCUUGAUGCCCCCCUUCCGGAACUAACGCGUUUAGUCGACCGCCUGGGGAGUACCGCGGCGAGGCUGGAACUCUUAUGAAUUGACGGGGGCCCGCACCAGCGGUGGAUCUUGUGGCUUUAAUUCCAUACAACGCCUAGAACCCUCCGUAUUACCCCGGCCUGCUG